rnacentral:rRNA from 1 species
GACCUCAAAUCAGGUAGGAGUACCCGCUGAACUUAAGCAUAUCAAUAAGCGGAGGAAAAGAAAAUAACAAUGAUUCCCCCAGUAACUGCGAGUGAAGAGGGACAAGCUCAAAUUUUAAAUCUGUUGGGUUUACCUAACCGAGUUGUAAUUUGAAGAGGCGUUAUCUGUGUUUUUGAUCAGCCCAAGUCCUUUGGGAUAAGGCAUCAUGGAGGGUGAGAAUCCCGUCCGGUUGAUCAGAUUCGCUUUACGAUACGUCAUCUAAGAGUCAAGUUGUUUGGGAUUGCAGCUUAAAAUGGGAGGUAAAUUUCUCCUAAGGCUAAAUAACGGCGAGAGACCGAUAGCGAACAAGUACCGUGAGGGAAAGAUGAAAAGAACUUUGAAAAGAGAGUUAAACAGUACGUGAAAUUGUUGAAAGGGAAACGAUUGAAGCCAGUCAUACCGGCGGGUAAUCAGCCUUUCGGGUGCGAUUCUGUGGAGUGUGAGGAGUUAAACGCCUUCAUGCCUGCAUAUUCGUGCACCUUGGGUGUACUUGCCCGUGUGGUAAGUUAACAUCAAUUUUGAUCGUCAUAAAAUGGCUGGUGGAAUGUAGCUUCGGUCUCGUACUGAAGUGUUAUAGCCUCCGGUAGAUGUGAUGAUCGGGAUUGAGGAUUGCAACGGAUACCCUUCGGGGCUACCCGCCUGAUCUCUGAAAGUUGCUCUGGUGUCGAAAGCGUGCUUACGGUCAUCAAAGUUGACGUUCAAUAGGUUAGAACGGGUUAAAUUCGUUAAGGAUGUUGACGUAAUGGCUUUAAACGACCCGUCUUGAAACACGGACCAAGGAGUCUAACAUAUAUGCGAGUGUUUGGGUGAAUAAACCCUUACGCGUAAUGAAAGUAAUUUUGGUGGGAACAUUUUUGUACACCAUCGACCGAUCAGGAUAUUUUUUGAUAGAUUUGAGUGUGAGC